GACAGUUUGAUCUGUCCUUCUUGGAGAAGAAGAUCGAAGAUUUUAUCGGCCUUUGAUGUGUCAAAUCCGAACGUUUCCGGCUCCUUUUUUCUGAAUGGACACGAUAUCGGCUUUUUCCCUUUAAUCCAUUCCGCAAGGCCGAUCUCUGUUUCUUCUUCGGUUUCAACCUCUUCUAAGUAUGCCACCUUCUUCUGGAAGUUCCUUCGUGGAUCAAAAGGGCGUACUUCUUGACCAGACAGUCGGUGGACGAUUUGGCUUACGCUCUCAAACUCCUGCGAAGCGUAUUUUUCUU
rnacentral:lncRNA from 1 species